CACGUAGGGUGCGAGCGUUGUCCGGAAUUAUUGGGCGUAAAGAGCUCGUAGGCGGUGUGUCGCGUCGGCCGUGAAAACCUGCAGCUUAACUGUGGGCUUGCGGUCGAUACGGGCAUCACUGGAGUUCGGCAGGGGAGACUGGAAUUCCUGGUGUAGCGGUGAAAUGCGCAGAUAUCAGGAGGAACACCGGUGGCGAAGGCGGGUCUCU
rnacentral:rRNA from 1 species